CAAGAUAGGUGAAGUUAGCUAACCAGCAAGCUGGCCAUCAAACUUCACGGGUCUUAUUCGCACCUUCGGUGCUCAACGUUUUUG
rfam:Legionella spiritensis strain Mt.St.Helens-9 Lspi_ctg031, whole genome shotgun sequence.